UCCCAUGUGGUCUAGUGGCUAGGAUUCCUCGCUUUCACCGAGGCGGCCGGGGUUCGAUUCCCCGCAUGGGAA
rfam:Hypsibius dujardini strain Z151 scaffold0217, whole genome shotgun sequence.